GUCUUGUAAUAUGAUUUACAUUCUGUUUUUUUUUUUAAAAUACUUUUUGGCGUUUUUUUUUAUCUUUAAAAUGUUUUGAAACUUUAAAACUUAGUUUGAUACUCAUAGGUUAAACAAACGCAGGACAAAUCUGAGGCCAACCUCAUUACUCUUAGGACGAGCGUGCUUACAACAUAUUACCACAUUGGCUGUCUUUGCUUCAUGAUAACCUUCCAUGUCUUAUUUUUUUUUUUUUUUUU
rnacentral:lncRNA from 1 species